rnacentral:ncRNA from 2 species
UAAGUAGAUAGAGGUGCGAUAUUAAAUAGUACUUUUAUGGAGAUAAGCAACUAUGAAGUAAAAGGAAAGGUAAUGUCGCCGAAGUGUACAACCGAUGCUUUAAGGUUUUAUGCUGGGGUUGCAUAGAAUAUAUGUAACACUGUCACAAAUUUAUUUUGUGGAGAGCUAUCAUUCAA